CCUACGGGAGGCAGCAGUGGGGAAUUUUGGACAAUGGGGGAAACCCUGAUCCAGCAAUGCCGCGUGUGUGAAGAAGGCCUUCGGGUUGUAAAGCACUUUUGUCCGGAAAGAAAACUUCUGCCCUAAUACGGUGGGAGGAUGACGGUACCGGAAGAAUAAGCACCGGCUAACUACGUGCCAGCAGCCGCGGUAAUACGUAGGGUGCGAGCGUUAAUCGGAAUUACUGGGCGUAAAGCGUGCGCAGGCGGUUCGUUAAGACAGAUGUGAAAUCCCCGGGCUUAACCUGGGAACUGCAUUUGUGACUGGCGAGCUAGAGUAUGGCAGAGGGGGGUAGAAUUCCACGUGUAGCAGUGAAAUGCGUAGAGAUGUGGAGGAAUACCGAUGGCGAAGGCAGCCCCCUGGGCCAAUACUGACGCUCAUGCACGAAAGCGUGGGGAGCAAACAGGAUUAGAUACCCUGGUAGUCCACGCCCUAAACGAUGUCAACUAGUUGUUGGGUCUUCAUNUACUAGUACGUAGACUACGCGUGAGUGACGCCGUGGGAGGUACGGUCGCGAGAUAAACUACAAGAGAGUAGACGNGNGAGAGCGACGACGACGACGACGGAGGGAGGAGG
rnacentral:rRNA from 1 species